GAUGAACGCUAGCGGCAGGCCUAAUACAUGCAAGUCGGACGGGACUGAGGAGCUUGCUUCUCAUGAGAGUGGCGCACGGGUGCGUAACACGUAUGUAACCUACCUUGUUCAGGGGGAUAGCCUCUCGAAAGAGAGAUUAAGACCGCAUAACGUAGUGAUGUGGCAUCAUAUUACUACCAAAUAUUUAUAGGAACAAGAUGGGCAUGCGGAACAUUAGCUAGUUGGUAAGGUAACGGCUUACCAAGGCUACGAUGUUUAGGGGAUCUGAGAGGAUUACCCCCCACACUGGUACUGAGACACGGACCAGAAUCCUACGGGAGGCAGCAGUAAGGAAUAUUGGUCAAUGGACGGAAGUCUGAACCAGCCAUGCCGCGUGCAGGAAGACGGCCCUACGGGUUGUAAACUGCUUUUAUACGGGAAUAAACCUACUUACGUGUAAGUAGCUGAAUGUACUGUAAGAAUAAGGAUCGGCUAACUCCGUGCCAGCAGCCGCCGUAAUAC
rnacentral:rRNA from 1 species